rnacentral:ncRNA from 2 species
ACAAACUUGUCGGAGUGCAUUAGGGCGAUAUUGCCCUGAAGCUGAGACCGCAUUGCGGGAUCCGUUGAACCUGAUCAGGCUAAUACCUGCGAAGGGAACAAGUAGUGAUUAUGU